rnacentral:rRNA from 1 species
GAUAACCUACCUAUAAGACUGGGAUAACUUCGGGAAACCGGAGCUAAUACCGGAUAAUAUUUUGAACCGCAUGGUUCAAAAGUGAAAGACGGUCUUGCUGUCACUUAUAGAUGGAUCCGCGCUGCAUUAGCUAGUUGGUAAGGUAACGGCUUACCAAGGCAACGAUGCAUAGCCGACCUGAGAGGGUGAUCGGCCACACUGGAACUGAGACACGGUCCAGACUCCUACGGGAGGCAGCAGUAGGGAAUCUUCCGCAAUGGGCGAAAGCCUGACGGAGCAACGCCGCGUGAGUGAUGAAGGUCUUCGGAUCGUAAAACUCUGUUAUUAGGGAAGAACAUAUGUGUAAGUAACUGUGCACAUCUUGACGGUACCUAAUCAGAAAGCCACGGCUAACUACGUGCCAGCAGCCGCGGUAAUACGUAGGUGGCAAGCGUUAUCCGGAAUUAUUGGGCGUAAAGCGCGCGUAGGCGGCCCUUUAAGUCUGAUGUGAAAGCCCACGGCUCAACCGUGGAGGGUCAUUGGAAACUGGAAAACUUGAGUGCAGAAGAGGAAAGUGGAAUUCCAUGUGUAGCGGUGAAAUGCGCAGAGAUAUGGAGGAACACCAGUGGCGAAGGCGACCCCCUGGUCUGUAACUGACGCUGAUGUGCGAAAGCGUGGGGAUCAAACAGGAUUAGAUACCCUGGUAGUCCACGCCGUAAACGAUGAGUGCUAAGUGUUAGGGGGUUUCCGCCCCUUAGUGCUGCAGCUAACGCAUUAAGCACUCCGCCUGGGGAGUACGACCGCAAGGUUGAAACUCAAAGGAAUUGACGGGGACCCGCACAAGCGGUGGAGCAUGUGGUUUAAUUCGAAGCAACGCGAAGAACCUUACCAAAUCCCCACAUCCUUUGACAACUCUAGAGAUAGAGCCUUCCCCUUCGGGGGACAAAGUGACAGGUGGUGCAUGGUUGUCGUCAGCUCGUGUCGUGAGAUGUUGGGUUCCCUCCCGCAACGAGCGCAACCCUUAAGCUUAGUUGCCAUCAUUAAGUUGGGCACUCUAAGUUGACUGCCGGUGACAAACCGGACCAAGGUGGGGAUGACGUCAAAUCAUCAUGCCCCUUAUGAUUUGGGCUACACACGUGCUACAAUGGACAAUACAAAGGGCAGCGAAACCGUGAGGUCAAGCCCCUCCCAUAAAGUUGUUCUCAGUUCGGAUUGUAGUCUGCAACUCGACUACAUGAAGCUGGAAUCGCUAGUAAUCGUAGAUCAGCAUGCUACGGUGAAUACGUUCCCGGGUCUUGUACACACCGCCCGUCACACCACGAGAGUUUGUA